UUUUUUUUGCUCUAUAUUCUUAAGAGCCUUUUCAACCCAAGUAUUCUAUGUUCUAGGAUCUUGGCAGGUUCUACUAUUCUCUCUUCUAUGGUCUCUUCCAGUUCUGAUAGUUUAUGUCAGGAUUUCCCAACCUGGAACUGCCACUCUAUCCACCAUGACACCUAACUGCCUUCAUGAGGAAGGACUUCCUAACAAUGAGCACUAUUCCAAAACGGAAUGAGGAAACGCUAUGCAGAGUACCCGAGACAGAGCCAUCAGGAAAAGGCGAUAUAAGUAGAUGUUCUGAAGAGAAAAAGCAUAAGGAUGCACAUACACACAUACUUGCAUUGACACAC